rnacentral:lncRNA from 10 species
GCAGUGAGCACACCAGCAGGCUUCUGUCCCCAGCCAGGGCCCGUUCCUCUGGGUGGCCCUGGCUCGGGCCUCCGGUGGAGCCUCCUGCUCUGCGGAUCUUCUGGUUUCUCAUCUGCCCUCCCCUGAGCCCUGGGAGGACGGCGCUCACCGACACACUGGAGCUGCGCAGUUUCAGGCCACUGUUCCCAGACUUGCACUGACUCCAUGAUGAUCAACUCUGCCCAGGAAGUUGUCUCAGAGGGUCACCAGGAAGUGCACGGUCCAGCUGCACACAGAGGGCUCUGACUCUCCCUGAACAGCAGAGCCACAGGGGUCCCUGAGUCAGCCAGGAAGAGGGCCACCUGCCCACCAGAAGCACCACAUGGAGCUGUUCAGGAAGCAAGAAUUAACGGUGUUACAUGAAGCCACUGAAAUGCGGAGGUUUUGCUUGUUAGAUGCUAUUAUAAGUUCCCUAAUAUGGCAUGUUAUAAAUCAUCUCUGGCUGCCUCUGAAUACAGUGUGUUUUCUAAACCAAAAGUCGCAGAGUUUAUUCCCGCCUUCUUUAAACCUCCGCAGUGCAUGGCUUUCCCUCCUGGAUGUCACGCACCUGCCGGUCCCCUGAGCUUUGAGUACUGUCUCCCUGAGCCGCACGGGAUGGUCACGCAGGGUCAGGGCCCGUCUGGCCAUCG